rnacentral:rRNA from 1 species
GACAGAGGGUGCAAACGUUGUUCGGAAUUACUGGGCGUAAAGCGUGUGUAGGCGGCUUUGUAAGUCGGAUGUGAAAGCCCCGGGCUCAACCCGGGAAGUGCACUCGAUACUGCGAAGCUUGAGUACUGGAGAGGUUGGUGGAAUUCUCGGUGUAGAGGUGAAAUUCGUAGAGAUCGAGAGGAACACCGGUGGCGAAGGCGGCCAACUGGACAGAUACUGACGCUGAGACACGAAAGCGUGGGGAGCAAACAGG